rnacentral:rRNA from 1 species
UACGUAGGGUGCAGGCGUUAAUCGGAAUUACUGGGCGUAAAGCGUGCGCAGGCGGUUUGCUAAGACAGGUGUGAAAUCCCCGGGCUUAACCUGGGAACUGCGCUUGUAACUGGCAAGCUAGAGUGUGGCAGAGGGGGGUGGAAUUCCACGUGUAGCAGUGAAAUGCGUAGAGAUGUGGAGGAACACCGAUGGCGAAGGCAGCCCCCUGGGCUAACAUUGACGCUCAUGCACGAAAGCGUGGGGAGCAAACAGG